GCUGUGAUGGCCGAGUUGUUAAGGCGUUGGACUUGAAAUCCAAUGGGAUCUUCCCGUGCAGGUUUAACCCUGUUCGUAACG
rnacentral:tRNA from 1 species